rnacentral:rRNA from 1 species
GAUGAACGCUGGCGGCGUGCUUAACACAUGCAAGUCGAACGAAGCACCUUGAUUCGAUUCUUCGGAUGAAGAUCUUGGUGACUGAGUGGCGGACGGGUGAGUAACGCGUGGGUAACCUGCCUCAUACAGGGGGAUAACAGUUAGAAAUGACUGCUAAUACCGCAUAAGACCACAGCACCGCAUGGUGCAGGGGUAAAAACUCCGGUGGUAUGAGAUGGACCCGCGUCUGAUUAGGUAGUUGGUGGGGUAACGGCCUACCAAGCCGACGAUCAGUAGCCGACCUGAGAGGGUGACCGGCCACAUUGGGACUGAGACACGGCCCAAACUCCUACGGGGGGCAGCAGUGGGGAAUAUUGCACAAUGGGGGAAACCCUGAUGCAGCGACGCCGCGUGAGCGAUGAAGUAUUUCGGUAUGUAAAGCUCUAUCAGCAGGGAAGAAAAUGACGGUACCUGACUAAGAAGCACCGGCUAAAUACGUG